rnacentral:rRNA from 1 species
AGUGAACGCUGGCGGUAGGCCUAACACAUGCAAGUCGAACGGCAGCACAGUAAGAGCUUGCUCUUACGGGUGGCGAGUGGCGGACGGGUGAGGAAUACAUCGGAAUCUACUUUUUCGUGGGGGAUAACGUAGGGAAACUUACGCUAAUACCGCAUACGACCUACGGGUGAAAGCAGGGGAUCUUCGGACCUUGCGCGAUUGAAUGAGCCGAUGUCGGAUUAGCUAGUUGGCGGGGUAAAGGCCCACCAAGGCGACGAUCCGUAGCUGGUCUGAGAGGAUGAUCGGCCACACUGGAACUGGAACACGGUCCAGACGCCUACGGGAGGCAGCAGUGGGGAAUAUUGGACAAUGGUCGCAAGCCUGAUCCAGCCAUACCGCGUGGGUGAAGAAGGCCUUCGGGUUGUAAAGCCCUUUUGUUGGGAAAGAAAAGCAGCAGGUUAAUACCCCGCUGUUCUGACGGUACCCAAAGAAUAAGCACCGGCUAACUUCGUG